AACGAACGCUGGCGGCACGCCUAACACAUGCAAGUCGAACGAGAAGCUAUCUUCGGAUAGUGGACAGUGGCGGACGGGUGAGUAACACGUGGGAACAUGCCUUUUGGUACGGAACAACGCCUGGAAACGGGUGCUAAUACCGUAUACGCCCUUAGGGGGAAAGAUUUAUCGCCGAAAGAUUGGCCCGCGCUAGAUUAGUUAGUUGGUAAGGUAAUGGCUUACCAAGGCUACGAUCUAUAGCUGGUUUGAGAGGAUGAUCAGCCACACUGGGACUGAGACACGGCCCAG
rnacentral:rRNA from 1 species